rnacentral:rRNA from 1 species
GGCGAACGGGUGAGUAACACGUGGGCAAUCUGCCCUUCACUCUGGGACAAGCCCUGGAAACGGGGUCUAAUACCGGAUACGACCUGGGAAGGCAUCUUCUCGGGUGGAAAGCUCCGGCGGUGAAGGAUGAGCCCGCGGCCUAUCAGCUUGUUGGUGGGGUAAUGGCCUACCAAGGCGACGACGGGUAGCCGGCCUGAGAGGGCGACCGGCCACACUGGGACUGAGACACGGCCCAGACUCCUACGGGAGGCAGCAGUGGGGAAUAUUGCACAAUGGGCGAAAGCCUGAUGCAGCGACGCCGCGUGAGGGAUGACGGCCUUCGGGUUGUAAACCUCUUUCAGCAGGGAAAAAACGAAAGUGACGGUACCUGCAAAAAAAGCGCCGGCUAACUACGUGCCAGCAGCCGCGGUAAUACGUAGGCGCAAGCGUUGUCCGGAAUUAUUGGGCGUAAAAACUCUUAAGCGGCUUGCCCCCUCCAAUGUAAAACCCGGGGCUUACC